AGAGUUUGAUCCUGGCUCAGGAUGAACGCUGGCGGCGUGCCUAAUACAUGCAAGUCGAACGCUUCACUUCGGUGAAGAGUGGCGAACGGGUGAGUAAUACAUAAGUAACCUGGCAUCUACAGGGGGAUAACUGAUGGAAACGUCAGCUAAGACCGCAUAGGUGUAGAGAUCGCAUGAACUCUAUAUGAAAAGUGCUACGGGACUGGUAGAUGAUGGACUUAUGGCGCAUUAGCUGGUUGGUAGGGUAACGGCCUACCAAGGCGACGAUGCGUAGCCGACCUGAGAGGGUGACCGGCCACACUGGGACUGAGACACGGCCCAGACUCCUACGGGAGGCAGCAGUAGGGAAUUUUCGGCAAUGGGGGAAACCCUGACCGAGCAACGCCGCGUGAAGGAAGAAGUAAUUCGUUAUGUAAACUUCUGUCAUAGAGGAAGAACGGUGGAUAUAGGGAAUGAUAUCCAAGUGACGGUACUCUAUAAGAAAGCCACGGCUAACUACGUGCCAGCAGCCGCGGUAAUACGUAGGUGGCGAGCGUUAUCCGGAAUUAUUGGGCGUAAAGAGGGAGCAGGCGGCACUAAGGGUCUGUGGUGAAAGAUCGAAGCUUAACUUCGGUAAGCCAUGGAAACCGUAGAGCUAGAGUGUGUGAGAGGAUCGUGGAAUUCCAUGUGUAGCGGUGAAAUGCGUAGAUAUAUGGAGGAACACCAGUGGCGAAGGCGACGAUCUGGCGCAUAACUGACGCUCAGUCCCGAAAGCGUGGGGAGCAAAUAGGAUUAGAUACCCUAGUAGUCCACGCCGUAAACGAUGAGUACUAAGUGUUGGGAGUCAAAUCUCAGUGCUGCAGUUAACGCAAUAAGUACUCCGCCUGAGUAGUACGUUCGCAAGAAUGAAACUCAAAGGAAUUGACGGGGGCCCGCACAAGCGGUGGAGCAUGUGGUUUAAUUCGAAGCAACGCGAAGAACCUUACCAAGUCUUGACAUCCCUCUGACCGUUCCUUAACCGGAACUUUCCUUCGGGACAGGGGAGACAGGUGGUGCAUGGUUGUCGUCAGCUCGUGUCGUGAGAUGUUGGGU
rnacentral:rRNA from 1 species